rnacentral:lncRNA from 1 species
AUGGCUGAGGCCUUCAAGUACACAGGUGAUUGCCUGUUACAGCUGUUUUGCAAAGUGGGAGUCAAAAUGUUUAUGAAGGUCACCAUUAAAAAUACCGUACAAGAAGCAUGGACAACAGUGCUAAAUAAUACUGAGAAGAAAGGAGCCAAACAAGGAACAGAAAGCAACGGCUGCAGAAAAGCGAGAAAACAGAAAUGCAGCCAUCAGAAGCAGAACUCGGUUGUGGAGACUCACUUUAGACACCAGCUCCUCUGGCUGCUGCUCACCUGGGUCAUCUGCCACAGCCCCAGACCUGGCUGUAAGGUCCUUGGCACUCUCUGUCUGAGAAUUUGGGUAGACUGGAAAACAGGACAGGUCAUCAUCCCAUCCCCGUAGCUGAACCUGGAGAAUGGGGCCGGUGGGGUACGUGGAGUAGAUAGGUAGACGGCAUCACAGACGAACCCCCUAAUCACCAGUCCCAAAUAUUAUGUCACAACCCCCUAAUGAGGAUUAUCCAGAUGAGUCCCAGGUAAUCAUAGACUGCUGUUAACAUUAAAGUGAUUCCUGGGACUGAAACUCACUGUACCAAAUGAACUAAAAUGGCUGGUAUUAAUAAACUGACAAAUGCAAAUAAAAGAACACUUCUUUAAUCUCCUUCCAUUAAGGAAAGGGCAUGUGGUUUGAAUUAUGAUCAUAUAAACCACUGACUUCAGGCACUUUUUAAAGGGUUGUAGUCUGCAAAACUCAUUAGAAAAUUUAUGCUAUCAAAUAUUUGAAUAAAAUAUAAUGGGAAUAAAGAGUUAAAUACUGCCUUAAAAAAAAAAAAAAAAAAAAAAAAAAAAAAAAAAGGUUUUCUUUUAAUUUUUAAAAGGGAAAUUACACAAAANNNNNNNNNNNNNNNNNNNNNNNNNNNNNNNNAAUCUUCCUAAAAAAAAAAAAAAAAAAAAAAAAAAGUCACAAAUGGUUUCCUUUAAAUUUUACGAAGGUAAUUUCAGCAAAAAGAUUAAUAAAAUGGUUACUGGUGAAAGUUCUAAUCCUGCAAACAUGUAUGUGAUUAAUUAUCUUCCUGCAGAGACCAGGGGCCCUGUUCUUAGGAACAAAACUAAACAUGUUUGCAGAACCAGGGCUGUAAGCAAAUCCAUAUCUUCACUCAUACAGAUAUCCUCAUUGAUUUCAGCAGAAAUGUUUACACACAAAGUGAAGCACAGACUGAAGCAUUUAAGCACUGCAAGCUCAAAGUGCAUUUUUAUUGCAAGAAAGUAUUGCUGUUUCGAAAUACGCCAGUAAUUUUCAGAUCCAGGGUGUAUCUCCAAGCCAUUAGCAGAAUGGCUGUGUAUGCAGGCAGGCCAGAGUGAAGAGGUAAAGUUUGAUGUCUCCAUUGAUGACAUUUCCAAGUGUCCAUGCCAUUUGGGAUCACAAACCCAUUGAUUUCAAUAUUCUGACCCUGCUGAAGGAGAACAGCUCCCCAGACAUUUCAGCUUAUUUGACAUGCUGAACCUGAAUAUUUUGGAAAUUGAUAUUGAGUACAGAAGCAGCCUGGUGUAUACAGCUGAGCCAGCUCCAAUGAAGAGAAACCCUUCUAGAGACCUGGGUGGGAGCUGGAACAGGCCCUAUAUUCUUAUUGCUUUAAAGAUGGAGCUUGUGCUGUUCUCACAGAAGGGAUGCUAAUAAGACCUUGGGCUAGUCUUUCUCCAGCCAAAUUCAAAAAGCGUGCAAACUUAAAGGAAAACAAUUGAACAAACAAAUACAAAAGUUCCACGUUGGUAAUUUAAAACCAGAAGACAAGAAGAAAGCAAUAAAAUGGUUGUGUAGAUAGAACUGAGAUGCCAUUUAUGUUGGCAUCAAUACCAAACAUGAUAGUCACUAAAUUAUCAUAGUUGCCUAUAUUAAAAACAUCUGCAGACUCACAAGAUGCUUCAGCUGUUUCCACAAGAUAUUUUAGCUGUAACCAUGCAGUUCUUAUGUUCUCUGUGUGAGUCACAUUGGUUUGUAAAAUCUCUUCUUCAUUCAUGAGAUUUUAACAAUAGACAUCAAGUGUCUCAGGGGUCUUCAGAGUAAGCAAGUGCCUAAUUUUGCACUUAGUGUAGAUGAUCUUUAAAUCCAGGUUCUGUGUACACCUGCCUGGCCCUGUAGCUUAAGACAAAACAAAACAAAAAUACCAAACCCAACAACUGUUAAUUUCAAUUAAACCACUCUGCAAAACACAUAGAGAUUCAUAUCACAUGCUUGUAUCAGAAUGAUUUUCUCAUCUUUAAUUUAACAGCUAUGACAUGUUUGUAUAGACCUGUUUUUAGAUUCAGAACAACUAAACUAUAUGCUCGAGGUUACACUGGGAACCUAUAGAAAAGCCAGCUCUCUCCUCUUCCAGCAUUAUGGACUAUUCAUCAGAUUAUGCUGAGUCUUAGAUGGGAAAACCUCCAGGGGAGGAUUUUUAUUAGCACAUUCUGCCUUCUGCAAAUUACUAUGGUAUGAUCAUAAUGCCUUUGUGCUUUUGUCUACCUACUGGUAGUAUUUAGAAAGUGCCUAUUGCUCUUGAGUCUAGAGUUGCAUAAACAACAAAAAUAAUAAUUAAUAACUUUUGCAAUUAUCUUCUGCCAAAUGAAAUCUCAUGUUCAGCUUCAACUGGAUACAUUCAUCUGUCUUAAGAUGUUGUCUAGGGUUGCUGUGCACUAUCUAACUGGUGGUACAUUCCUUCCCAAAGGUGGCUCUUUGGGAAACUUUGAAGCUCUAUAAAUAGAAUAUAUUAGUAUUAUUAUUACUGGAAGAGGGGCAGGACUGCAGCAUUUCACCCCUAGGGGACAGAGACGCUCAAGAACACUUGUUUCAGCAUUUGAAUGUGCGGAUGGUUCACAAUUGGUGAUAUGAAGGAGAGAAAAUGCUCUAGCACAAAACAUCCUGUAAAAGCAAGAAGAAAUUCAGCAUAUGAAAUUCAUCAUGUUCAGCCCUGGCCUUUCACACUUUUACACUGCCCAUUUAGGCUUUCUUUCUCAACAGUGGAGGCUGACAGACACCUCUAGGAGGUCUGAAAUGUCUUUCUUCCUGCAGGAGGAAUCACAGUCUCAAGGCGCCAGGUCCUCCUCAAACCUGGAACUGAGACACCUAAAGAGAGGUGGCAGGGCCUUGGGCCCCCAGCAAGGGAACUGCGACCCAGCACUCUCCAGAGCAAAGAAAUACAAAUGAAAGGUGCACAAGAGGAGAGGAGAGGAGAUAUAAAGGGAGCGGGGACACUGGGAAAGUGUUACAAAAACAAGGAAAGGGAAAAACUAAGAGCAACAAAAGAGCAACAGGCAUUGUUUUUUUGGCUUCUAAACUUUGCAGGUCUGAACCUGUUUCUGUUGGCUCCUAGCAAAUUCUCUCUGCCAGGAAAUAUGAACAUAUUAAGAUUAUACAGGCUUGGAAGAAGGAUACUGAAUUAAUCAGUUAGGCAUUCUCUUCUAGGUUCCUUCAUUUCAGCCUCCUCAGCAAGCCACAGUGAGCCUUCACCUGCCCGGACACCUGCGAGCGCAGGGCAAGCAUUGUACCUCCGUCUGCCUUUGCCAUCAACUUUUGCUUUCACACAGAAGUGUUGAUCCUGACCACUGCAGUGCAAUUAGUUUGGAGCUAAGCUAAAAAAAAGGAAUAGAGAAGGUGGACAAGACAGAUCACUACCUCUGGUUAGCAGUAACUUCACACAACCAAAGGACGUGAUAUCUCACUUCAGAAUCAGGCAGGAAGCAGUGUUUUACCCAGAAAGAUGAGCAGAAGAGAUACGUACCCCGCUGUCCUUGCAGAGAAAACGUGCCGACAGCCUCCUGCCCCCAUGCCAGCCAGUGCUGCGUGUCGCAGUGCUCAGUGUGACCCCUCUGACACAAUCGGGUGCCUCCAGGCAAGGCCCGUGCUGCUGACAGGGUUGACAAGCAAAGCCUGCUCUCGCCUAAAAAGACAGGUGCUGUUUUGCAGUUAAAUGAGCCUUUAGACCUGCUUCCUGUCACUGGUCGGUUGACAGCCCUGGAGAGGGUACAUGUCCUUGGCUCUCAGUCUGCUGAGCACAGGGGCUGGAGGACGGAGGCAAGGGUGGCAGAGGCCUGGCCCCACUUUCCAAGCUCUGUUUGGAUGCUGUGAGGGGGCUGAGUGGUUACGGUUCAGCUCUUCAUUCCUCCUAAUGAAGAAUUGGCCUUAAUUGCACCUCAUUCUUCUCCAGAGGAAAUUUAACAAAGGGCUGGGGCUGUACAAUCUGCCAGCCAACCUCUCCUGCUUGUGCCAAGCACCAGGGAGCAAAGAGGUCAGGCAGAGGCUCACACAGCAACCAGGAGCCAACAGUCUGACCAACAAGGCCUGGAAACGGGGAGAAAUCAAUAGCCAUGAGACAUGGCCAUUAGCAGUUUGGCUUCUGGGAAACGUUACUAGAUAGGAGAUCUUUGAUUAAUACUACUAAGGACAGGAAUCCGGCCCACCCAGAGCUAGACAUCUGCUGCUUAGUGGAAAUGCCAGGAGGGAAACCAUGUAUGCAGACACUACCAAAGAGCCAGAUAUAUUUUGCAGUCACCAAAUGGGGUGGGUGCAGGUGCAGUGGUUCAGCCCAACCUUUCUCAAAGGAGUCUGGCAUCUAUCAGGACGUGCCUCAGCAGGUUAGCCGAAGAUAAAGAAUUAUCUUUCCACUGGUAUUCACUGCAUGGCUUGUAGUUCCUAGAUCAUGAGAAACAGUAAAAAUUCACCCUGUCAGUUGUCUUUCUUCUAGGCUGCCAAGUCCUACUUACUUAAUUUCUUCUCAUGAAAAAAGAUAUUCUGUACUUCUCCACUUCUGCUCUCUGUACCUUGUCUCAUCUCCUCUUACAUCCUUAUUGAGAUGACAGCAAUUAUCACAGACAUGGAUUCAUCAUGGAUUUAUGUGGCGACACAAUACGAUUCUUGAUCAUUUUCCCAGUCUUCUGUUUGCC